GAUCAUGGCUCAGGAUGAACGCUGGCGGCGUGCCUAAUACAUGCAAGUCGAACGCGCAGCGAGAGGUGCUUGCACCCUUCAAGCGAGUGGCGAACGGGUGAGUAACACGUGGAUAACCUGCCUCAAGGCUGGGGAUAACAUUUGGAAACAGAUGUUAAUACCGAAUAAAACUUAGUAUCGCAUGAUAUCAAGUUAAAAGGCGCUACGGCGUCACCUAGAGAUGGAUCCGCGGUG
rnacentral:rRNA from 1 species